GCCGCCGCCCCCUCUGCUCUCCCUCCCUCCCCUCCGACUUCCUCCCCGCCUCGCGAACUCCGCCGAACAGCCGCGCCAUUCACAACUCCGCGCCGCCGCCGCGCAUGCGCCGCGCCGCGCCCUGGGGGCUCGCGCACCUCCCUCGGAGGCGGGAAGGGGGGAGCGGGGGACGUCGUCCGCCCGCAGCGAGCUGCUUCCUCAGUGCUGGCAAGAUCAAUACUGAGUGCACAGACCUGCAGGAGAGCUGCCAAGUCCAUCGGGUAGAAAUCCGCCUUCUUAACCUCCAGUAAUCUGUCACCACUCGGAGCACAUCACCCAGCUCCUGCCUCCCCCAGCGCCAACAGAACAGGCCUUUUUCCAAACAACAUUUGCAAAAAAAAAAAAAUGAAAAAAUUACUGAGCUCAAAAGCAAAGUGAGUGGUUGUGAAGCCCUGAAAUAAAAACCGGGAGCCAUAA